rnacentral:misc_RNA from 1 species
AAUAAAAUAAAAAAAAAGUAAAAAAAAAGAAUGCAGUUUCAAUUUGCAUAGUGAUCCUUAUAUGAGCGGGUGACAGUGACUAUAAAUCAUAGCAACUAAAGUAAUAUCCAAAAGGUACUCACUUGAUGACUGCAUGUAUCACAAGGAAACACAUACUAAAGCAUACACUGUGAGUUUUCAAAAGCAACCAAAAGAGAAUUUGAAUUUCCUACAUACAACUAACUAGCUUCUAUAUAAAUAUUUGGAUGAUAGAGACAUGAAAGUCUCUUAUGAAGAGAAUAAAUUCCUCAAAUGUGGCAGAAACUUGAUAGAUUGUAUCUAAUUUACUUUAUUUCAAUAACCAUAUUGCUAGUGGCUUUGAGAGAGAGAGGAAAGAGGGUGGGGAUAAGAGAAAUUAAAAAAAAAAAGAG